rnacentral:tRNA from 1 species
GAUGUAACUCAAUGGUAGAGCACUUGCCUAGCAUGCAGGAUGCCCUGGGUUCAGUCCCCAGUAUAAUCA